UAUAACCCGACUCGAUCAAGGCAAUUUGUGAUAUGAUUACUACUUGCUCAAGGGCCCUAUUUAGGUCCAUUAGUCUAAUAAUUUUAUCUUGUGCGUGGCUUUCUUUUGGGUAUAGGUUGCUAGCACUACUAGUCCUGGAGUUUCGUUGACGCGGUUGGCAUGGAUACUGAUAGAGGCGUGACAUGUGGAACUCUUAGUUUGACGAGUUGGCAGAGGUUUUUUUUUUCCAGCACACGAUUCCUCCAAUUGGUAUCAGAGCAUGCUAGUUAGAAUUUAGGUAUAUAGAGGCAUAAAAUAUGAUUUUAUGCUAAGAGCUUGCAUGCUUUUGCCGAUUGUCUUUCAACGUGACUGUUAGACAUGCAUUAGGUUAUAACUUAUACUAGGUAUGUGAUAUUUGCUAUAUUCUAUGGCUUGUUGUAAAUAUGAUUUGCGGAGAAUAAGUAUGUGUAAUGGUUACACAUGUUGAUCUAUUAUGCAAGAGUUGCCUAAUAGUAUGUGGUUA